UUAAGCGCGAUUGUGCACGUAUCGAUUUUGAAAUCACGGAGAUUCUGUUAGGUCGUAAUCGUACAAUUCUUCAGCACGAUUGAAAGAUUCAGCAGCGCAUUGGCAAUUCCACGUUUUCUCGCUCGAAAAUAUGUCCGAAAUAUAUCAGUGCGAUAUGGACCUUCUAAGCUCGUCCGUUAUCGGCACAAUGAAAGGGACCGGGAGAGACUAUCAAUAAUUACCUGGACCUAUGCCCGCCUAACUCUAACGAAGGACGAUUUCUAACGAUCCCUCGCCAGCGUCCAACUUCUGGACGUAAUUAAUUCCCGGGCUAACCUGGAAUGCUAUAAUUAAUUGCCGAUGGGGCUGAUGAGGGGUAGAGCGCAACGGGUGCAACAAUAUGUACCCGCUUCGAUUAGAAGUGUGGGGAGAGAUAGAAAAGGAAGAGGGGAGGAAAGAGGGAGGGGACCGCCUCUGCUCGCAGUUAUGCAAUUAAUUAAAUCAGUUUGUUAUUCGCCGUCGACUGUUAAUUGCUGCAAAACUUCAAGAAACUGCACACGCUUGACGUUUCGAAAUGCAUCGCCGCUCAUACUCAAGAUCGCAUUGUGAGAAUCUGUGUAUGUGUAUGAAUGUACGUGUGUAUCUAUUGUCUUUCUGCAUCGGAAUUAGUAUCUAUGAGAAUUUUCGUCGCAUAAAAAGUUUUUAUUUACGCUUUCGCAAUUAUUCGUAAUGAUUCGUGCAAUAAUGACGUGCCGCUAUUGAAAAAAAAAAGCAGCGACCUAAAGAGUUUAAUGAAUUACGUCAGUAUGAUAGAUCUAUAAGUUUAACGAGCGCGCGUAUAUUGGUAAUGCGCUUGUUUGAUUCCGGAUUUAAUUGAUACGCUUGUAAACGUAAGACAGCCAGCAAAUAAAGGAUUAGAACGCGAUGGUUGCACGCGGUUUAAUUAACGAGGAGAGUUUCCUUUUCUUCACUCUCAUGUAACGAACCAUCUUACAGGUCUAUUUACCGUUGAAAAAAUUACGCGAUCCAAACGCUCUCUCUUUUUCUAUAUAUAUAAUGAGAGAAAUUGGUUUUUACAAAUUCUGAAAAAUGAUAUCGUUGUACUUUUUAUUCUCUAUUUACUUAUAAGUAUUUAGUAUGUAUAUUCUAUUUCAUAUACAAGUAUAUAUUUAUUACA